rnacentral:rRNA from 2 species
UAAUAUGGCCAAGCUACUAAGGGCACAUGGUGAAUGCCUUGGCCGAGACUGUCUAUGAAGGACGUGGUAAGCUGCGAUAAGCGUCGGGGAGGUGCAAACAACCUUUGAUCCGGCGAUUUCCGAAUGGGGCAACCCUUUGUCGAGUGAUCGGCAAAAUCCUGCAGCGUUAGUUGCAGGAAGACAACCCGGGGAAGUGAAACAUCUCAGUACCCGGAGGAAAAGAAAUCAACCGAUAUUCCGAAAGUAGUGGCGAGCGAAAUCGGAACAGCCUAAACCGUCGUGCUUGCACGGCGGGGUUGCAGGACCGCGUGAGUAGAGUUACCAAUCAGAGUGUUAGUUGAACAGCCUGGAACGGCUGAUCAAAGAAGGUGAGAAUCCUGUAGACGAAAACACAUCUGACUCGAAGCGAGUUCCUAAGUACCGCCGGACACGUGAAAUCCGGUGGGAAUCCAGGGAGACCACUCUCUAAGGCUAAAUACAAGUCUCGGACCGAUAGUGAACCAGUACCGCGAGGGAAAGGCGAAAAGAACCUCUGACGAGGAGUGAAAUAGAACCUGAAACCGUGUGCUUACAAGCAGUUCGAGCCCUAUGCCCUUUGAGCAAUCUUAGGGAAUGGGUGAGAGCGUGCCUGUUGAAGAAUGAUCCGGCGAGUUACUUGGUGGAUGCAAGGCUAAGUCGUUAUUUAACGAUAACGAUGGAGCCGUAGCGAAGGCGAGUCCGAAUAGGGCGAAUAGUAUCCAUCAGUAGACCCGAAGCCAAGUGAUCUAACCCUGAACAGAGUGAAGUCCCCUUAAACGGGGACGGAGGCUCGAAGCGUUAACCGUUGAAAAGGUUCUGCAUGAGUUGGGGUUAGGGGUGAAAGGCUAAUCGAACUUGGUGAUAGCUGGUUCUCCCCGAAAUAGCUUUAGGGCUAGCCUGGUAACUUAAGAGUGGGAGGUAGAGCACUGGAUAGUGUAGGGGUUGUAACCCAACUUCCGAAGCUAACCAAACUCCGAAUGCCCAUUUGUAUGUUACUGGAGUCAGUGCGCGAGGGAUAAGCUUCGUGCGCAAGAGGGAAACAGCCCAGACCAUCGAUCUAGGUCCCAAAAUCUAUGCUAAGUGGUAAAGGAUGUGGAAUUUCUCAGACAGCUAGGAGGUUGGCUUAGAAGCAGCAAUCCUUUAAAGAGUGCGUAACAGCUCACUAGUCAAGCGAUUCUGCGCCGAAAAUGUACGGGGCUCAAGCAUAGUACCGCAAUCGUGGAUUUAAUGAUAGUUUACUACCAUUAAGUGGUAGGGGAGCGUUCCCGCGGCAGUAAAGGUAUACCGUAAGGAGUACUGAAGCUGCGGGAAGUGAGGAUGUCGGAAUAAGUAGCGAUAAACAAGGUGAGAAUCCUUGUCUCCGAAAACCUAAGGUUUCCUUGAGUAAAGUUCGUCUGCUCAGGGUCAGUCGGUCCUAAGUCGAGGCCGAAAGGCGUAGAUGAAGGGUAUCCGGUUAAUAUUCCGGAACUACUUUUGGUGCGUUAAAUGUCGUCAGCGACGCUUUUCAGUAGAUCAUCCUACGAUUGGAAGUGUAGGUUGCAUCAUCCGCAAGGGUGAUACAGGAUUUUGCAGCAAUGCGAGAGAACUGAUUGUAUGGGGAGCCAAGAAAAACCUGAUGGCCUGUGCCGAAAGUACCCGUACCGCAAACGGACACACGUAGGUGGGGUGAAAAUCCUAAGGAGCGCGAGAUAACUUUCGUUUAGGAACUAGGCAAAAUAGCCCCGUAACUUCGGAAGAAGGGGUGCCCUUAGAGUGAUCUAAGGGUCGCAGUGAAUGGGCUCUCGUGACUGUUUAACAAAAACACAGGACUCUGCUGAAAUCGCAAGAUGAAGUAUAGGGUCUGACGCCUGCCCGGUGCUGGAAGGUCAAAGGGAAGUGUUAGCCGCAAGGCGAAGCACCGAUCUCAAGCCCCAGUAAACGGCGGCCGUAACUAUAACGGUCCUAAGGUAGCGAAAUUCCUUGUCGGGUAAGUUCCGACCUGCACGAAUGGCGUAACAAAGAGAGCGCUGUCUCAACGAAAGACUCGGCGAAAUUGUGGUAUCCGUGAAGACGCGGAUUACCUGCGGUUAGACGAAAAGACCCCGUGGAGCUUUACUGUAUCUUAACUUUGAAUUACCGAAUUUGAUGCGUAGAAUAGGUGGGACCCUUUGAAACCAGGCCUGUGGGCUUGGUGGAGGGACAAUGUGAAAUACCACCCUUCUGAUUCUGUGGUUCUAAUUCCCUGGUCUGAAUCGACCGGGAGGACAGAGUUAGGUGGGCAGUUUAACUGGGGCGGUUGCCUCCUAAAAGGUAACGGAGGCGUUCCAAGGUACCCUCAGGGCCAAUAGAAAUGGCCUAUCGAGUGCAAGGGCAUAAGGGUGCUUAACUGCGAGACUCACAAGUCAAGCAGGUGCGAAAGCAGGACCUAGUGAUCCGGCGGUUUCAGAGUGGAAUUGCCGUCGCUCAACGGAUAAAAGCUACCCCGGGGAUAACAGGCUUAUUUCCUCCAAGAGUCCACAUCGACGAGGAAGUUUGGCACCUCGAUGUCGGCUCAUCCCAUCCUGGGGCUGUAGCAGGUCCCAAGGGUUUGGCUGUUCGCCAAUUAAAGGGGUACGUGAGCUGGGUUCAGUACGUCGUGAGACAGUACGGUCUCUAUCUACCGUGGGCGCAGGAAACUUGAGGGGAUUUGUCCUUAGUACGAGAGGACCGGGAUGAACGCACCUCUGGUGUGCCGGUUGUUCCGCCAGGAGCAUAGCCGGGUAGCCAUAUGCGGACAAGAUAAACGCUGAAAGCAUCUAAGCGUGAAACUUACCCCAAGAUUAGGUUUCCCUAAAGGUCACCCAUAGACUAUGGGUUUGAUAGGAUAGAAGUGGAAGUGCGGUAACGCAUGGAGCUAACUAUUACUAAUCGACCGUUUGGCUUGGCCAUAU